rnacentral:lncRNA from 1 species
CAUUCAUCCAAAUGAAACACUCCCAUAUCAUGACCGCCAGCGGUUUGAGUUGCACGAUAUCCAAGAGUAAAGUCAUCUGUAAAAUAGAUACAGUUCUUUUUCACUGAUCUAUAAUAAUCAGAAGCUAAUACAGACUUCGAAACUGUCCUGGCUUUUGCAGCAGGCACUCCUCUAGUUCUUCUGUCCUGGCUUUAAGUGUUCUAGCAGCAUCUGCUGACUCUGCAUUUACACUCAGAUCCUUUUGCCUUCGAACAUGAGUCCUGACAGCCUGAAAAUAGGUUUGGAAGUCACAAACAAAAGAUACAUGGAAGCAUGGGAAUAAAUAAAUAGAUAUAAUACGAUAAGGUGAAAACAAAUUUACCUGCAGGGAAUCUGGUAAUCCUUAGUAGCGCACAGUUCUGCAUUCCAAUGUUAAAGCUGUGAUCACUCAAUAAACUGUAAGGCCUAGAUGAAAUUACAAACUUUUUAUCCUUAAGUCCGCUCUUUAGGAAAGCAAGAAAUUAACCGAAAACAUGAUACAAAUAGUAAUAUACAAAUCAAUCACAAUCAUAAAGGUCACAAUCAACAUAAAAAAGAUUGUAACUGAAGUAAACAAUACCGCUUAUCUUAGUGAAAUUUCUUCUGGCAACUUAUUAGAUAAAGCAUCUUCUUGUGCUUCCUGCAGCUCAGAAAAGAAGCAAGCAUCUGCAUGUUACAUGGACAAGGAAAAAUCACUCUCUUAAAGAAAGGAAGUAAAGAAAAGAAAAAAACUACGAACCACAAGAAAUGGGAAACCUACUUAUGCAUGACACAUAGCAAACUCUAACAAUAGUAGUGCAAGUAUCAGCAAGAUUUAUUGACAUCGCCAAAUAACAGUAUUUUUCAGUACUGUAAACCCCUUAUGCAUCAUCGGCACACUGGAUAUUUCGGACCAUGCCCCCACGACAAGCUACUAAAUAAAUUAGAAUACCUUAGCCUUCUGAGGAUGACUUCAAGCUUCCACAUAGCUCUGUCGGCAGUAGUUCAGGUGAGAUACUAUCAUUUACUGCUUUAAGCGCUAGAAACAUGGAGUCCAAACAAUCCACUCAUUUGCCUUAAGUAGUUAACUAUCUUUUUUCUACUUUCAUUCAGAUCUGUCAUGCUCUUCCGAGCUCGGCUUUCAGCACAAACAAUCCACAUUCAACAAAACACCAUAGAGAAAAGAUAGUGAAUUUAUAUAUACCAUGCAUAUAUAGAGAAAAUUAAUGAAUUUAUAUCCCAAGACCUGCAACAUGUUCUAUCUCUGUUCAAUCCGUUGAAUGGCUGAGAAUUUGAGUCCGAACCUCUUUUCAUAUUUUGUAUGCUUCACCUGAAGAAUACAAUACAUUUUCUUAAGACUUAAAACCUCAUCUCCCAUCAACUCAUCAAAUUUAUGUGGUUGGAUGUUAGCAUCUGAAAAACAAAAUUUUAAAUAUACUCCUGUUAUAACCCAGUAAGGCAGUAACCCAUUAUCAACAAUAAGCAAUGUUACAUGUUAUAAUGGAACUAUGGAAGUAAGAAUAUAUCUGGAAAAAGAUAUGAACAAUACUGGACAAAUUGGAUACAACCAUGAUUUUUAAUAUCCUUCUUCAGACAUCUUUCCAUGUAAAGAUGAUGCUACUAGUUGAAUUUAGAUCUCUAAGCAUCAAGGGUAUCCCCCCAAUGAUUUCAUCAAACCCGUAGUGGAUGAGACGCAGAAAGGGCAUCUUCAACAUAAUUUUGACAAUCUCCAUUGCUUUCAAUGGCACCUGACUCUAGAAAAUUACAGAGAGAAAUCUCCUCAGGGGGACAAAACACAAUUGGCCCUAGAAAAUAAGUAUUAAAAAUAUUGAUUUAAUUAGAAGAAUGCAGAAGGGUAAGAACACGUUGAAUACAAGAAUAAUAAUACCUCUGAAGUAGUCUGUGUCAUUCAUAGCUUCUAAACCAUUUUCACUCCCACCAGCUUGUAGCCCAAGAAAAUUCAAAUCGACCAACUAAAGUUCCAAAAAAGAAUGAAAAACCAAUCAACAAAAGUGGUUCAUAAAGUAGGGCCAACGAUAAGAAGAACCAAAUUUGAAGAAAGAAGCUUGCAACAUUGACCUGAUUCCAGAGUUCCUAGCACUGAUAUCAGUGUCAUAAGA